rnacentral:rRNA from 1 species
CACCCAUGUCUUUUGCGCACUUGUUGUUUCCUGGGCGGGUUUGCCCGCCACCAGGACCAAACCAUAAACCUUUUUUUUUAUGCAGUUACCAUCAGCGUCAGUAAAAACAAUGUAAUUAAUUACAACUUUCAACAACGGAUCUCUUGGUUCUGGCAUCGAUGAAGAACGCAGCGAAAUGCGAUACGUAGUGUGAAUUGCAGAAUUCAGUGAAUCAUCGAAUCUUUGAACGCACAUUGCGCCCUUUGGUAUUCCAAAGGGCAUGCCUGUUCGAGCGUCAUUUGUACCUUCAAGCUUUGCUUGGUGUUGGGCGUUUUUGUCUCCCUCUUUCUGGGAGACUCGCCUUAAAACGAUUGGCAGCCGGCCUACUGGUUUCGGAGCGCAGCACAUAAUUUGCGCUUUGUAUCAGGAGAAAAGGACGGUAAUCCAUCAAGACUCUAGAUUUUUAACUUUUGACCUCGGAUCAGGUAGGGAUACCCGCUGAACUUAAGCAUAUCAA